UGGUAAACAAAAGGUACGAUUAAUGCUAUUCCAGAACUGUCAUGUUUGUGUACAAAAGUCAUCUAGUAGUCAUCGAUCAUUUUGCUUUCCAACAUUUUCGGUUCCGUCGGUUCAGUUGAGUGAUUCUCGAUUGUGAAUACAUUGCAAAUAUUACCCCUAAAGUAAACUAAAAUCCAUAUUAAAGGCCCAACACACUCGCUCAGACAACAUUGAUCGAUUCCGUCCCGCCAUCAGUGCUUGUAAGCGUAUUCCAUCAUGAAAGAUACCACCGCCUCCCACCGCCUUUACCAAAAAGAAAAAAAUGGAUUGCGAAUUUUCGCAAUUUAACAGUCCACCACGCCGGACGUUGCGGCUCGGGAUGGGGAAAGGUCGAAACUUUGCUAAAAACCUUCGCGCUUCUUAGCUGGGCUGCCCGGCGUAUGCUAGAUUGAUUUGUGAACCCCUGCUGAAACACUUCUUAAAGCUCGUCCAGCAACUGUGUACGGGUAA